UACAGAGGGGGCAAGCGUUGUUCGGAAUUACUGGGCGUAAAGGGCGCGUAGGCGGCUUUGCAAGUCGGGUGUGAAAUCCCCAGGCUUAACCUGGGAACUGCAUUCGAGACUGCAUUGCUAGAGUAUGGGAGAGGGAAGUGGAAUUUCCGGUGUAGCGGUGAAAUGCGUAGAUAUCGGAAGGAACAUCAGUGGCGAAAGCGACUUCCUGGACUGUAACUGACGCUGAGGCGCGAAAGCGUGGGGAGCAAACAGG
rnacentral:rRNA from 1 species